AGAGUUUGAUCAUGGCUCAGGACGAACGCUGGCGGCGUGCCUAAUACAUGCAAGUCGAGCGGACUUGAUGGAGUGCUUGCAUUCCUGAUGGUUAGCGGCGGACGGGUGAGUAACACGUAGGCAACCUGCCCGUAAGACUGGGAUAACAUUCGGAAACGAAUGCUAAUACCGGAUACGCGAUUCUCUCGCAUGAGGGGAUCGGGAAAGAAGGAGCAAUCUUUCACUUACGGAUGGGCCUGCGGCGCAUUAGCUAGUUGGUGGGGUAACAGCUCACCAAGGCGACGAUGCGUAGCCGACCUGAGAGGGUGAUCGGCCACACUGGGACUGAGACACGGCCCAGACUCCUACGGGAGGCAGCAGUAGGGAAUCUUCCGCAAUGGACGAAAGUCUGACGGAGCAACGCCGCGUGAGUGAAGAAGGCUUUCGGGUCGUAAAGCUCUGUUGCCAGGGAAGAACACUUGAGAGAGUAACUGCUCUUGAGUUGACGGUACCUGAGAAGAAAGCCCCGGCUAACUACGUGCCAGCAGCCGCGGUA
rnacentral:rRNA from 1 species